AUUUUUUACCAUGGGCGCGAGCCUGGUCCACCCAUCGCGCGUGAGUGAAUAAGGCCUUCCGGUUUGAAAACUCUUUCGGCCGGGAAGGAAUCGCUCAGGCUAAUACCGUUGGCGUUUGACGGUACCGGGAUAAGAAGCACCGGCUAACUCCGUUCCAGCAGACGCGGUAAUACGGAGGGGGCAAGCGUUGAUCGGAAUUACUGGGCGUAAAGCGUGCGCAGGCGGUUAAUUAAGCCGAGCGUGAAAUCCCCGGGCUUAACCUGGGAACUGCGCCUGUGACUGGUAAGCUAGAGUACGGCAGAGGGAGGUGGAAUUCCACGUGUAGCAGUGAAAUGCGUAGAGAUGUGGAGGAACACCGAUGGCGAAGGCAGCACCCUGGGCCGAUACUGACGCUCAUGCACGAAAGCGUGGGUAGCAAACAGG
rnacentral:rRNA from 1 species